UACGUAGGUGGCAAGCGUUGUCCGGAAUUAUUGGGCGUAAAGCGCGCGCAGGCGGCCUCUUAAGUCUGAUGUGAAAGCCCCCGGCUCAACCGGGGAGGGCCAUUGGAAACUGGGAGGCUUGAGUAUAGGAGAGAAGAGUGGAAUUCCACGGUUGUAGCGGUGAAAUGCGUAGAGAGUGUGGAGGAACACCAGUGGCGAAGGCGACUCUUUGGCCUAUACUGACGCUGAGGCGACGAAAGCGUGGGGAGCAACAGG
rnacentral:rRNA from 1 species